rnacentral:rRNA from 3 species
AAACGACUCUCGGCAACGGAUAUCUAGGCUCUCGCAUCGAUGAAGAACGUAGCGAAAUGCGAUACUUGGUGUGAAUUGCAGAAUCCCGCGAAUCAUCGAGUUUUUGAACGCAAGUUGCGCCCGAAGCCUUUCGGCCGAGGGCACGUCUGCCUGGGUGUCACGC